rnacentral:rRNA from 1 species
CCCCGAGACUUUAUGUCUCCUAAAGAGCCGUUGAAGACUACGACGUUGAUAGGUUGGAUGUGGAAGCAUAGUGAUAUGUGAAGCUGACCAAUACUAAUUGCUCGUGAGGCUUGACUAUACAACACCCAAACAGUUG